rnacentral:lncRNA from 1 species
UCAGCCACACUCAUCCAUCCUCGUCUCUCCUCCACACGCCUUCUUCUUCAAGCUCUCGAUCCAGAUGGGAUCGAAGCCACCACCGAGCCUCCCUUUCUUCUCUUUCCCCCACAAGGUCGGCACCACCACUCUCUGGCGACGUCCCUCGUCGGCGGGAGUCCCGGUGCCGCGAGGCCGCUCGACGGAAGCAUCUGAUGCUACUGCUGCUGAUUAUUGGUCAAAGUUUAUCACCUGGGUCAAUCCUUGUUGGUUCUGAAGUUUAUCAUCUGGGUCAAUCCUUGUCGGGGACCGUGUUGGUUCUGCCAAUCCGAUUUCUUCGUGGAAGUAUCCGAUUUAGCAGAUUGUAAUCCCUUUGUUCUGUUCCCAUCCACUACUUGUUGACUUCUGAUGCAGCAAGGCUGCUCACAUAUAAAAGUUGAUAAGAUUGGGUGCAAGGCAGUAAGGUGGGACUAUACUACGAUGACAAUCUUGUUUUGCAACACAAACACAUCUGAUCAUGAG